AUGAUUAGGAUAGCUUUG
rnacentral:snRNA from 1 species